GGCUUCGUUUUGCGUGUUUGCCGCUUAUCCAAAACUUCAAUAUUGUUACCUGGAAACACGAAGUUAUUACUUAUUAAUACCGUAUUCCACAGAUAAUGGAAGCUGAAUGUGCUGUUAUUUUUUUUUUCGUCAAAAGUUGGCAGAAAAUGCGUAACACCUUACGUGUAGACAACCAUGGCAGAUGCGAAUCCUAAUGACUGUACCUGUUUCAUUUAUGAGUCAGCUUGUCAUUUCUUUGUCCAGCUAUUCGUCUAGUCAUCCAAAAUAGGGUGCGGUUCGACUAGAAUGAAAUCAUUCUGCUAUUAACAUCUACCUAUUUGGGUGGGGCAUUGCUUACAAUAAGACCAUUUCUGUCGAGACCAGCGAAUAAGACAGUAAAAAAAAAUACAAAUAAAAAAAAAA